GACCGGGAAGGGAAAGGGGGCGUGCCAACUGUCUGUUUUUCCGAGUGGACAAUAAAGUUUCGAAAGUUUGAAAAAGGAAGAGAAAAAACCCCCACGCCCCUUAGGCUUCCCGGGCUUGGACGCCUGCGGCCCGGCUCAGUCGGAGCUCCGGCGGCAGUGUGCUGGCGGAGGCGUGGUCUGCGCGCCGGGAUGGGGGUCACCGUGGACGUGCGCGAGGUGUUCAAGUACCCCUUCGAGCAGGUGGUCGCCAGCUUCCUCCGAAAGUAUCCAAACCCCAUGGAUAAAAAUGUCAUCUCCGUAAAAACUGUGGAGGAAAGAAAAGAUGUGUCAACAGGGAUCAUCUAUAGAAAGAGGAUUGCAGUCUGUCAGAAUGUGGUUCCAGAAAUUUUAAGGAAGGUGAACAUUUUAAAGGUGCCUAAUAUCCAGUUAGAAGAGGAAUCGUGGUUCAAUCCUCAGGAAAGGAACAUGGCUAUAAGGAGUCACUGCCUUACAUGGACACAAUAUGCAUCCAUGAAAGAAGAGUCUGUCUUCAGGGAAAGUAUGGAAAAUCCAAAUUGGACAGAGUUCAUUCAGAAAGGCAGGAUUUCAAUCACAGGGGCUGGUUUUCUCAACUGCGUUUUGGAGAAUUUUGCUAGUACAUUUUUAAGACAGGGUGUCCAGAAGGGAAUUAGAAUAAUGGAGAUGCUGCUAAAGGAACAGUGUGGUGCCCCCUUAGCCGAAUAAAGAAUCACCAGGAAGUCGUGCUGUGUCUACUGCUUGAGCAUAUUUCCUCGGACACAACACAUCCAGAGACACGGAUUUAGAGAUACAGGUUUAAGGAUGUGGUGUUGGCAGCUUAGAGAAGAGGAGACCUUCCUGCUGGCACUUGACGUGAUCCAUGCCCCUGGGAGUCGGUCCCACAGAGAGACUCUUGUGGGGCUGACACCUUCUGGCUGAUUCUUAAUGGCACAAGCUCUGCAAUUUUACAAAUAAAGAAAAGAUCCCAGAGAAGGUGAUGUCCAUAGAAAAAAUCCUGGAGAAGCUGAUGUCCAUCCUUCAUCAGGACAUCCUGCUGAUUGCCUGGUGAUGGUGUCAGGGCAGCUAAGGAUGGGCCAGAGGCCUGGAAAGUACUGAGUGUUUCUAACUUGUUCUCUGCAUCAUGGCUCAUAGAACUCACAAGAGGAUGCUGGGGCAAAUAAAGGAGUUAAACCUGAUACGUGAUUCUUGGGUGGCCCGAAACAGGCAGAAAUACACCAGGACUAUGUUGAAGUUAAGCCAUAUUCAUAGAAAUGUUGAAGAGUCUCAGAAGUCAGGAGCGCUUGACUUUUUCUACCCAACAAUACAACGUACCUGCCACCAGCAUAGCUUUUAUAAUGCGAACUGAUUGGUCCUUAACACAACCUGGAGCGGGCAGGGGGGCUGUGGGCUAUCAUCUUGGCUCCUUCUAACUCAUUCUGGGAUGUGGAGCAGAUCACGUGACCUCUUCUUUUCUUUUUUUUUUACUGGGCAAAUGGGGAUAAUCGGGCACAGAUCUUUCUACUUGUGAUGAUUUUACCAGGGUGUUUGGUGUAAAAAGCUCAAGUCUGGGAGCCAAACUGACAGAAGCAAGUUUGAAUAUACGCGCAGCUCCCAGCAGCUCCAUGAUCAUAAAUACUACAAAGGUAAUAUUGUGUCUCAGGGCAUCAUGUCAGAAGGUACAUGAUACCAAUUUUUACCAUUACUGAAAAUGUUAACUCUGAUCUCUUACUUAAGGUGAGUCUAUCCAUGACCAUUCUCCUCCUUUAUAAUUGUUUUAUGUAGACACUUUGUGACUAUGGAUAUAUAAAUAUAUAUGCACUAUGCCUUUGUCACUGAUCAAGUAUGCCGAACUCACUGCAUAUAACUCAUAUAGGGGUCUCUUUUAUUUAUUACAAAGCGUACCAUUGUGUGUAUCAUUUCUUCCACCAGUCUCCUAUAUAUAGAUACUUAGGUUGUUUCCAAUGAUUUUGUAUUUACAAAUAAUGCUGCAAUGGAUUACCUAAUGUGGUUAUAUUUUCUUGUUAGCUUCAGGCUAAAUUCCUAGAACUGAGAUUGCUAAAUUAAAAGGAAAUGCAUAUGUAAAUUUGUUAGAGAUUGCCAAAUUCCCCAGCAUAAGGGUUAUAUUAUCUGCAUUCCCAUCAGCAGUGAACGAGACUGCCUGUAGCCUUGCCAGCAGAAAGUGUUGCCAAGAUUUUUUACUUUUUUGCCAACCUGAUAGAAGAGAAAUGGUAUCCAGUGUAAUUUUAUUUGCUUUUAUUCUUAUUAUGGGUAAAAUUGAAAUAGCUGUGUAUGACUAAGAACCAUGGUAUAUCUUUUUCAUAAAUUAUUUGCUUGGGCCUUUAAUGCAUUGUUCUUUUGAAGUUUUGUCAUUUCCCCCUUUAUUUUAACAGUUUUAAAGUAUAUUAAGAAUAAUAUCUCCGUAUCUGUGGUACAUUUUGCAAAUUUUUUCCCCCACUUUGUCUUCUGCCAUUUUACUUUGAUUGCGGUAUAUUUUUCCGUGAGAAACAUUUAAAAUUUUUAUAUAGUAAAAUUUAUCUUAAAAUUUUUUCAACUUUAUUUUGUCCUAUUCUCUUUUUAUACCCAUGUUAUGGAUUAAUUCAAUAAUGUUUUCUUCUAGUAUUUGUAUAGUUUUAUGUUCCACAUUUAAAUCCCUGAAUACAUUUAGAGCUUAUUUUUAUGUAUGAUGUGAAUAAUACAUUUAAUUGUAUCUUUUUCCAAAAGACUACCCAGUUAUCUGAGUACCUUUUUAAAAAAAUUGUUCAUCUUUGCCCAGGAGUUGGAGCACCAUCUUUAUUAUGUGUUAAAUUUCCAUAUGUACUUGGUUCUCUAUCUGGGCAUUUUACUCUAUCCUAUUGCACCAGUCUGUCUGCCUCUUCAUGUGCCAGUAUUAUACAGUUUUAAUUAUAGAAGCUUGCUACAAUGUUUUAGUAUCUGGAAGGAUUAGUCCCUUUUUAUAACUUUGCUUUUUCAAUGUUUUCCUAGCUAUUCAUGCAUGUUUAUUUCUUCAUAUGAACUUUCAUUACAACUUAUCCAGCUUCAUGAAAAAAAGCUUAUUGGUAUUUUUGUUAUUGCCUUAAAUUUAUAAAUUAGUGUAAGAGGAAGUGAUCUUUCUUUUGACACUUAGUUUUCCUAAGAACAAGGGCUCCUUUUCAUUUGUUAGAAUCUAACUUUUUGCCUUUCAGUGGUGUUUUUAAGGUUUCACAUACAGACAGUACUAGUUAUCUAUUGCUGCAUGACAAAUUACCUCUAAACUUAAUAGCUUGAAACAAUCAUUAUCAUUUGUUAUCUCACACAUUUUCUAUAGGUCAAGAAUUCAGGAGGUGUCUAGCGGGGUGAUUCUGGCCUGAGGUAGUAGUACUUGAAGUACUACUUCUACCUCUUGAAGUAGUAGUCGAGAUGGUGGCUGUGGAGCUGCAGACACCUGAGGCUUCGUUGGUGUUUCUAACAUGGCUUGUUCACGUGGCUGACAAGUUGGGGCUGGCUGUUAGCUGGCGGCCGUGGUUUCUCACCGCUCCGUCCUUUCCUCACAGCAUGGUAACUGGCUUCCAUUGGACAAAAGAUCCCAAGAGAGAAAGAGGUAGAAACUAUACAUUUUUAAAUAUAAUUUAGUAUUGGAUAUUACACAUCAUUUCCAUAAUGUGUAUACUUGGGCAAACAGAUCAGCGUUAUUCGAUGUGGUGGGGUCUAUUCAAAGAAGUGAGUAUGUGGAGAUGGGGAUCGUUGGGACCAUCUCAGAAGUACAAGUCUUGUACACGUCCGUAAUGUUUUUGUUUUUUUUUUGUAGUGUUUUUACAGUAAGUAGGAUUGGGGCUUCAGAAUCAUGGUGUGUGUGUGUGUGAAUUUACUGGGAAUAGAUGUUGAAUUUUUAAAAAGUUUCUAGGAUUCAUUAGAGUAAUAACAGUGAUUUUUUUUUUUUCAGAUUUAUAGUAUUUUAUGGUAAUGGGUUUCCUAUAUUGAGUAUACAUGAUAUGCAUAGAACAAAUUCUGCUUGGUUAUUAUAUAUUAUUUUCAUAGCAUAGUGAUGAAUAAUAAAUAUAUUUUGUGCUAAUUUUGAGAAGUUAUAUGUUUGUAAUUUGAUUUUUAAAAAUUUGGAACUAUAUGAUAUUUGGGCAUCAAUAUUAUAUUUGCUUUAUAAAAUGAUUUGAAAGUUGUUUUCCUUCAUUUUCUAUGUUUUGGAGCAGUUUUUAUAGCACUGGGCCUAUCUGGUUAUUGACAGUUUGGUAAAAUUUCCUUUUAAAACCAUCUGGGCCUGGUGGGCUUUUCUGUGAGAUCUAGCUUUGCUUAAAUUUCUCUCUUUCUUUUUUUUUUUUCCUAUGAGCAUUGGUCCAUUUAAAAUGCUUCCUGGGAUGUCUACGGCCAUACCACCCUGAACGUGCCCGAUCUCGUCUGAUCUUGGAAAAUGCUUCCUGGGAAUUUUCUGGUGGUUCAGUGGUUAGGGCUCAGCACUUAUACUGCCAAGGCCCAUGUUCAGUCCCUGGUUGGGGAACUAAGCUCCUGCAAGACACUCAGUGUGACCAAAAAAAAAAAUAAGAAGUGCUUUCUAACUCUACUUGAAUCAAUUUUGAUAAACUUUAUCUCAUCAAAUGUUUCUCAUUUAAUACAGGUUUUCAAAUUUAUUUGCAUAGAAAUAUGUAAAUUAAUCUCAUGAUUUAAAAGCACUUUUUUUGUCUCAUUGGUAAUUUCUUACCAUUUCUUCAUAUAUUUGUGCCUUCUUUUUUCUUAAUCAGGUGAAUUAGUGAUAUGUCUAGUUUAUUAAUCAUUUAAAAAAGUGUUUUAUUAAUAAGGUUUCUUGUCUUUUUCUUCUCUACUGUAUUAAUUUUUACUUUUAUCUGUUUCCUUCUUGGUGCUUUAUUUUUGUUAACUUUAUUGUUCUUUUAAAAAAUAAUUUUUGAAAGUAAGCCUCAGAAUAUUGUGGAGGGCCCACCUAUGUCUGUGUUCCCUUAAAGUUAAAAAGAUGUAUUUUUAGCUUGCAAUAAAUGUAUAAAUCAAUUAUUCUUUUCUGAGUAAUACUUGAAUGUAUCACAUAGAUUUUAAUCUGUAGUAGUUUCAUAUUUAUUACAUUUGAAAUUUGGGGUUGUAUUUCCUCUAUCACUUAGUAUUUUUUUACAAGAAAAAAAUUUAAUUUCAGGAGUUUUCUUAUUUUUAGAUAUUGUUAUUUAUUGCUUAUUUUAUUGCAAAAAUAUAAUUAAGGAGUGUUUGUAAUAUUUCUUCUCCAUACCACUUACUCAUGCUUUUUUUUUUUGUGACUUAACAAGUUGAUUAGUUUUGUAAAUGUCCUACUUGUUGCUUGAGAGGAAAGUCUAUGUUCCAUUAUCAGGGUUUAAUGUUUGAUGAUUCCAUAAGAUCUAUUGUAUUUUACUGAGAAGGCUGUUUGGGUAUUCUGUAGCCUUGAUAAUUUUUGUUUGCUUACUCAUUUCAUAAUUAGAGUGUUUGAAAUCUGUUAUCAGGGUAUUUUGUGUAUUUCUACUUGCUUCUCCCGUAGUUUCUGCUGUAAGAAGAUUGCUGUGUUAUUGGUGCAUAGAUAUUUCUGAAUGUUAUAUCUCUACUUUGAACUUUAGCUUUUAGCAUUAAUAGUGUCUUUAUUGUCACAUUAAUUUUUUUUGGCUUGCGUCCUAAUUUGAUGUCAUGUGCAAACACUGUUUUUGUAUUGAUUUCAUUUGCCUGUUAUGCCCGGAUCCAAACCUUUUAUGUUUAGCCUUUCAGAAUCACUUUUUUCCCCCAGAUGCAGCUCUUGUAUAGCAAAGAUUUGUUAUUUCUUUGAGUCAUUUUAAAAAUAUUUUAAAAAGAUGAGUUAAGCGAACUCACAUAUAUUAAUGUACUUUUUAUGUUGGGUCUCUGUCAUUUCAAGUAUAAUUACUAUCUCAUUUU